ensembl:misc_RNA Metazoa_SRP Metazoan signal recognition particle RNA
ACUGGGUGCAGUGAUGUGUGCCUGUAGUCCCAGGUACUCGGGAGGCUGAGGCUGGAGGAUCACUUAAGUCCAGGAGUUCUGGGCUGUAGUGUGCUAUGCUGAUCGGGUGUCUGCACUAAGUUUGGCAUCAAUAUGGUGACCUCCCAGGAGUGGGGGACCACCAGGUUGCAUAAUGAGAGGUGAACUGGCCCAGGUCAGAAACAGAGCAGUUCAAAACUCCCAUGCUGAUCAGUAGUGAAUAGCCACUGCACUCCAGCCUGGGCAACAUAGCAAGACCCAGUCUCUU